AGGGAUAUAGCUCAGUCAUAGAGCAUGUACUUGCAUGUCAAGGUCCUGGGUUCAAUCCCCAGUACCUCCA
rfam:Camelus ferus unplaced genomic scaffold scaffold15685, whole genome shotgun sequence.